UAAGUAGUAGCUAAGUUUAAGCACUUCAUUUACGAUGUAGCGAUCGUCUGUAAGACGCUACUUAA
rnacentral:tRNA from 1 species